CGCCUCGCCCCCUCGGAGAGCGCGCCUCCUGCGCGGCGCAGGGGAUUAUGGGCUGUAGGAGCUGAGCUUCGCGCCCCUUAGAGGGGCUGCUGCGCAGGCGUGAGAGCGCGCCGGCCCUCUCUUAGCAGUUUCUCACCCCUUUCGUUCGUCUUAUAGUCUGAUUUGGCUGGUUGCUCUUCUUGAUGUGCGUUAAUAUGUUCUGCUGUACCCGUGUCCUGCAAAAGGGCAGAUCCAGAGGGCGGGCCAGACUCAGGUUCAGUUUGGGGGUUAGAGGCGUCACAAAACCAGAAACUGAUGGUGGGGUUAGAAUGAUGAACGUGGACCCUCCCUGGUGGCGCAACGGGUUAGGACACAGCACUGCAAGCUGGCUGCAGUCACUUGGAUGUGAA